rnacentral:rRNA from 1 species
CGAACGGGUGAGUAACGCGUGAGGAACCUGCCUCAAAGAGGGGGGCAACAGUUGGAAACGACUGCUAAUACCGCAUAAGCCCACGGCUCGGCAUCGAGCAGAGGGAAAAGGAGUGAUCCGCUUUGAGAUGGCCUCGCGUCCGAUUAGCUAGUUGGUGAGGUAACGGCCCACCAAGGCGACGAUCGGUAGCCGGACUGAGAGGUUGAACGGCCACAUUGGGACUGAGACACGGCCCAA